rnacentral:rRNA from 1 species
GACGAACGCUGGCGGCGUGCCUAACACAUGCAAGUCGAGCGGAGACAAUAGCAAUAUUGUCUUAGCGGCGGACGGGUGAGUAACGCGUGGGCAACCUGCCUUUCACAGGGGGAUAACACAGGGAAACUUGUGCUAAUACCGCAUAACACAACGAGAUAGCAUUUUCUUGUUGUCAAAGGAGUAAUCCGGUGAUUGAUGGGCCCGCGUCCAAUUAGCUAGUUGGUGGUGUAAUGGACCACCAAGGCGACGAUUGGUAGCCGAACUGAGAGGUUGAUCGGCCACAUUGGGACUGAGACACGGCCCAGACUCCUACGGGAGGCAGCAGUGGGGAAUAUUGCACAAUGGGGGAAACCCUGAUGCAGCAACGCCGCGUGAAGGAUGAAGGUUUUCGGAUUGUAAACUUCUUUAGUCAGGGACGAAUAAAUGACGGUACCUGAAGAAUAAGCCACGGCUAACUACGUGCCAGCCGCCGCCGUAACAC